GGAGAGCUCAACGUUCCACGCCGUAAACGAUGAGUGCUAAGUGAAAUAGAAAGUUUCCGCCCCUUAGUGCUGCAGCUAACGCAUUAAGCACUCCGCCUGGGGAGUACGGUCGCAAGACUGAAACUCAAAGGAAUUGACGGGGGCCCGCACAAGCGGUGGAGCAUGUGGUUUAAUUCGAAGCAACGCGAAGAACCUUACCAGGUCUUGACAUCCUCUGACAAUCCUAGAGAUAGGACGUCCCCUUCGGGGGCAGAGUGACAGGUGGUGCAUGGUUGUCGUCAGCUCGUGUCGUGAGAUGUUGGGUUAAGUCCCGCAACGAGCGCAACCCUUGAUCUUAGUUGCCAGCAUUCAGUUGGGCACUCUAAGGUGACUGCCGGUGACAAACCGGAGGAAGGUGGGGAUGACGUCAAAUCAUCAUGCCCCUUAUGACCUGGGCUACACACGUGCUACAAUGGACAGAACAAAGGGCAGCGAAACCGCGAGGUUAAGCCAAUCCCACAAAUCUGUUCUCAGUUCGGAUCGCAGUCUGCAACUCGACUGCGUGAAGCUGGAAUCGCUGGUAAUCGCGGAUCAGCAUGCCGCGGUGAAUACGUUCC
rnacentral:rRNA from 1 species